rnacentral:rRNA from 1 species
UACGAAGGGGGCUAGCGUUGUUCGGAAUCACUGGGCGUAAAGCGCACGUAGGCGGAUGUGCCAGUCAGGGGUGAAAUCCCGGAGCUCAACUCCGGAACUGCCUCUGAUACAGCACGUCUUGAGUUCGAGAGAGGUGGGUGGAAUUCCUAGUGUAGAGGUGAAAUUCGUAGAUAUUAGGAAGAACACCGGUGGCGAAGGCGGCCCACUGGCUCGAUACUGAUGCUGAGGUGCGAAAGCGUGGGGAGCAAACAGG